UCUGGCUCGGGCUCCGCAGUGGCAGCGGGCGCUCGCUGCCCUGGUUCCUCAGCACCCUGGGGCCGGGCUGGAGCCGGCCCAGGAAGGUCAUUUACCUGCAAUUUACACCAUGGCAGGCAGGUUUUGUGGACAUGAGUAAGAAGUUCCCACGCACAAGUCCUGAAGAUGCCAGGGCCAGCAGAAAUGAAGGCAAACACAAACAAACGGGGACAAAAGAGCAAAGCCAGAAACACCACCAACCCC